ACGAACGCUGCGGCGUGCUUAACACAUGCAAGUCGAACGGAAAGGCCCUGCUUUUGUGGGGUGCUCGAGUGGCGAACGGGUGAGUAACACGUGAGUAACCUGCCCUUGACUUUGGGAUAACUUCAGGAAACUGGGGCUAAUACCGGAUAGGAGCUCCUGCUGCAUGGUGGGGGUUGGAAAGUUUCGGCGGUUGGGGAUGGACUCGCGGCUUAUCAGCUUGUUGGUGGGGUAGUGGCUUACCAAGGCUUUGACGGGUAGCCGGCCUGAGAGGGUGACCGGCCACAUUGGGACUGAGAUACGGCCCAGACUCCUACGGGAGGCAGCAGUGGGGAAUAUUGCACAAUGGGCGGAAGCCUGAUGCAGCAACGCCGCGUGCGGGAUGACGGCCUUCGGGUUGUAAACCGCUUUCGCCUGUGACGAAGCGUGAGUGACGGUAAUGGGUAAAGAAGCACCGGCUAACUACGUG
rnacentral:rRNA from 1 species